AAGUAAGCCAAAAAAAAUAGGCAAGAUGUAUCCUACGUAUUGUAUAUAUUAGAGACUCUGCAUUCUGAAACUACAUGAGAAUGGGAGCCCUUGGACCUCCUAGUAAAAGAAGAAAAGGACCAUCAGACUUAUUGCAUAUUUUUGUUAAGUGGUGCUUUCAGGGGUCUUCAAAAUGAUACUCCAAAAACUACCCAGUAAUGUGAAUUUUGUGCUUUGAGGACUUGGCAUGCAACUGUUCUAGCUACAUGGAGGUUAAUGCCUCUUCAUAAAGACUUGAGCCUUUGUGGAGCCACAUAAUAAAAGCCAUGUGAAAUUCAGCCGAUCAGAAGGUGACACUCCCUUGUCUGGGACCAUUCCACACCCUGAAAUGUGUUUUUAAAAUUCUUUUUCAAAAUGUAGAAAAUGACAUAGAACCUGAUCUGGCUUUCACAGGGGCAAGUUCAUCUACUGCCAUGGAGAUCAGUGGUCUCAUUGCAGAUUUCCACCACAAAGACUGCACUCACUAUCUGUCCAGACUUCUUGAAGUCCUUAUUUCUCAGGCUUCCUACAUUGUAAAUACUGAUAUUGUAAUUCCAGACUGUCCAAGACAUUCAUCCUUAAAAAUCAGCCCACUAGAAUUCAUUCCUAUACUGACCAUACUGAUGUCUGUAUUGCUGGCUUUUAUGAAAUAGUUCCUCCCAAGGUAAUUUCAAAGCGUAUCUUCGUCACCGUGCCUCCUUCCAGCUUUGAAAAAUAAUAUAAUAAUUGUGGCCCAACCUCCAACCAACUCACCUGUAUGGUUUCUAAAAUUGUUCAGCCAGUUGACAGAGAAGUUACUAAUCCUUGCAGAUCAUUCAUUUACUAUGACUACUACCAUCCUUAAAAUUAAUUGGCAUGCCCAGCUCACACAGUACCUUCCCAAACGCCAGAACUCUAUGUAGGUCAAACAUGAGGGAAUUUAACCUCUUCCAAACAACGGUUGACAUCUAAAGGGACACAACUUGACUUUGACGCAGGAAGUUCAGAGUAAACCAUCCUUACCUCCAGCUAUUUUCCUGUAAGUGGUCCUGUUUUGCCUGGAGAUUUUUUUCGCUUUUUAUUUUUUAUUUUUUUUCUUUUCAGGGAUCAUUGGCAAUUUCAAAGGUAUCUCAGGGCCUGGCAGUGGAUGGAGAGCAGGCACAAUGAGAUUACUCUUCAGCGUCUCUGUUUUAACUUUCAGUUCAGCUUGGCUCUCAAGCUGUAGUUUGACAAUACAGUGAAUCUGUUUUGUGGGGUACUUAGCAUCGGAUCGCAAAGCCACUGUAGUCAUAAUAAUGCAAUAUACUGGUACAGUCACUCCACUGAUUCAGAUUUGUUAACAAUAUAUCAAAGAGAGAAUUUGCCCUGGCAGAUUUAACAUAGAAGAAGUAUUUUCUGUCUAGGCAGCUCUUAACUUCAUGCUGUCUUCCUGCAGCUGGCAUAAAAUCAACAUAAAAUUAUUAAGUGAAUGUAAACACUGUGCUAUGUGCUCUGGCUAAACCAACCAAAAUGGAAUCAGAUGCUCUUGCCUGAUUUCGAUCAAAUUUGUACUGUUACAUGAUGUACAGCCUCACAGAGCUGGUAUUAAAUGAUCACAGAACUGUUGUUUCGGUAGCCUACCAAAGCAACAACUCUGUGGUUAGAAAGUCAUAGACAUUUCAUCUCAGCAACUGCUCUUUGCUUAGAAUUACAAACACCCUCAUCAGUGGAAGCUGUCAUGUCUAAUAAAUAGACAAAUUCAAUCAUUACCAUCUGGGAUGUCCUUGGGAGCAUAAGAUGGAAGAUGCAGAAAACGUGCCUCAGCUGUAUGAUUUUUAAUACUCUGGGUUUUAUAGUGACCCAGACCUCUUUUAAUGACAGAAAAAUAUUCCUUGGGGGCCAGGAUGAGGAUAUUUGUAUGCCCCUAUUUGCUCUAAUAAAAUAGAUUUUCCUCUAACCUACAGAAGAUGUAUUAUAUUUCCAUGUUUAUAAACUCAGAAGAUUCCCUGGUGAUUAUCUAGUCAGUAGAGAUUACACACUAUAUAUACUAUAGAAGAUUUUACAGGCAUAGAAUACUGGUGGUUGAUUAUUUAGUUCUCUGUAGGUCAAGUCAUAAGAUAAACCUGAGUCUCAAUGAAAACUUCUUUUAAAACAAAACCCAGUCUUUCGUUUAAAAAUUUUGAACCACAAACCUUAGUAUGUUAUUCCAAUGAUUAAUUUAUCCUUGCUUCAAAAUCUGUCUUUUUUUCCAUCCCUAAUUUUAAACUUUUAGUAGGUAGAGUUUCUGAUCGCUCCUGUAUAGAGUGAAGAACCCCCUUGACCUCUUUCCUAUUUUGGAACCUCCAAGCUUUAAGUUAUCUCUCAAAUUCUCUUGUUCAUCAGAACAAACUCCUUGAGUCUUUAACUAUAAAGAAUAUUUUGAGGUCUUUCAGGUGCUUUGCAGGCUCUCCCUUGCCCCCUUUCUAAACAAUAAUCAUCUGUCUUGGACUGUGGACAAAGACACCAGGUGCCAUACCACAGCUGCAUGUAAGUCGGUACCAAGCACAGAGGCAAUAUCACUCUCACAAGUACCAGAAAUUCUUGUAAUCAUAGAUCCAAUUCUACUCAUAAAUCCAAUUAACAUUUGAUUCUGGCUGUAGAUCUUACACAGCUGAUUAGUCACCAUGACCCCUAAGACCUUUUCAAAAUCAAGGCAUCUCCUAAAGGAUCCCUCAUAGCGAUUAAACGUUUCUUACACACUUUGUUUUUAAGUGCCACAGCUUUGCAUUUGGCUGUUUAGAAAUAUAUUUGCUUAUGUUUAUCUCACUAGCUAUUCCAAAUAAUUUAUUUCAAUGUUUUGCCCUUUUCGUGAUUUACCACCCCCUUGGUCUUCAUGACAUCUGCAAAUAUUAUCACUUAAAGGCUGCCUGACUCUGAUUCUUUCUCUGCUUGUUUCCAUGGGAUUCAGAUGCUUUCAUCUUAGAAGCUGCUGCCUAAUAAAACUGGUUGACCAGGAACUGCUCAGUCUCUUUUAUGUUCAUCAGAAUAAAUGUUUGUCAAAAAGUUGCAUCUUCAAGGUCUGAAUGAAUUCAAAGAAGCAGAUAUUUAAGUUUGUGCCAGGUUUUGCGAAGUCCAUAACCGCAAGUGCAAAGCUCCAUCAGAGGAAACCAUGUUUCAGCUGAAAUAUUCCCUGAAGCUCACAGAUCCAACGACACACCAUUGGGAGGAAGCCCUGCUUCACAUACAAGCUGUAAGGAUGUUUCAGUAUCCUCAUUUAUGUUCAGGAUGGUCAACAAAGGAGCAUGUUUGUCACACCUGGACAAACCUAGAGUGAUGUUUUUUAAGGUGAGGUCUAAGCUGGAGCAGGGGCACUGCAUGUCAAGUGAGGCACAGGCAACACCUUUGGAAGUGUGAGCUGAGAGGUCAGUGAUGAGAAUGGAACUGGGCUGGUUUAGGGCAGAAAUGUGUGACAACAGCCUCCAAACACACCAAAAGUUAUCACUGAAAAGGCAUGGAAUGGAUUCUCCAUGUUCAUGGGGGAUAAGAUAAAAAUUGCAGCAUGGCGGAUUUAGAUCAUUCACUAACUACAUCCUCGAGGAAGGAUAUAAAGCCUAGGCCAUCAGGGUUUGAACAGACAAUGCCUGUUGAGGACAGUUUGGAUAUGGUUGGUGCUGCCUUGCACCAAGAGGUUGGAAUGAAUGACUCUUUCCCAUGAUAUUUUUAUGAAACCAUCCAUGGCAAGCGAGAAUGCCUUAAAUCUGGUUCAGCAAUAUCCUUAAGUGAAUGAAUUAGUACAUACCCUCAGCCAGUGGCACUGGCAGGGGUCAUUAGUGAAGGUCAGCAGCAAUUUAAGAAAUGGCCACCUGCAGCCAUCUGUGCUUUCAUGCCAUUUUUUCUGCUGGCUUUCAGGGUACCUGUUGCAACUUCAGCCGCAAGUCAGGGUGGCCAAAGGGGUGGGAUAACAAACACACGCCACCCAGAUGUCUCUGAAUGAAUUCCAGAAGGGAAAACAUACUUCAACCCCAUGAGCUCCAUGUGCCACUCAGGAGGAGGCAUCGAGGUGGCUACCCGUGUCAGCAGAGCAAGCAGGAGAUGCUAACACUGCAGGGGGAGAAACUGAGAAAAGCAAAUAAAGCUGGUGGGAGGUGCAAUGAAGUGGCUGGUAGAUUGUCCUUCCACAGCUCUGCUGCUGCUCCAAUAAAUCAUUUAUUUCCCAAGGCUUUCUUCUCACUGCAAUUUCUUUCUUCCUAAAGCUCUUUGUUUAGAAAAUAGACAAAUUUCUGCCAUCUGCAUAUAUAAUUUCCCCCUUAUAAAACUCCACAAAGUCCAGGAAACCGGUUAAAAGCAUCCUGUCUCUUACAGGUAUGCACAGAAGUGGUUAUUAGAGUAACCAGAAUAAAAAUACCAGUGAAGAGAGAAUGCACAUGGUGAAGUAAGUCUAUGAAUGAAAAUUUGGGCUAAAGACAUUUCUCAUGUACUACAUGUGAGGCAGACCCAAGCGGCAGGCAUUGUAAACUGGGUGAAAUGCAGUAUUUCUGCAAUAGUUUGGAUGCUUUCACAAACAGAAGGCAGUGGAUUUCAAGGCAGUUAUCAGGAUUUUACAUAUCAUUGUUACUGAAAAAAUACACCUUUAUUUUUAAAAUAUUUUUCUUAACUCAUUCUGUUACUGCAGUUCUGUCUGAAGGGUUACCAGGUUGAGAAGCAUGUGUGUUUUGCUCUGUUUUUAAUACAUUUAUCACUUUAAUGACCCACUGUGGGUUAUUACUACCUGUCUGUCUGGCAGGAACUACCCAACUACCAUGCUGAUAAAAUCCUACCUUCAAAUUUUAUGCAAAA